rnacentral:tRNA from 1 species
ACCUAGCUGGCUCAGUUGAAGAGCAUAUGACUCUUGAUCUUGGGGUCAUGAGUUCAAGCCCCACACUGGGUG